rnacentral:rRNA from 1 species
AGAGUUUGAUCCUGGCUCAGGACGAACGCUGGCGGCGUGCUUAACACAUGCAAGUCGAGCGGUAAGGCCUUUCGGGGUACACGAGCGGCGAACGGGUGAGUAACACGUGGGUGAUCUGCCCUGCACUUCGGGAUAAGCCUGGGAAACUGGGUCUAAUACCGGAUAUGACCUCCUAUCGCAUGGUGGGUGGUGGAAAGAUUUAUCGGUGCAGGAUGGGCCCGCGGCCUAUCAGCUUGUUGGUGGGGUAAUGGCCUACCAAGGCGACGACGGGUAGCCGACCUGAGAGGGUGACCGGCCACACUGGGACUGAGACACGGCCCAGACUCCUACGGGAGGCAGCAGUGGGGAAUAUUGCACAAUGGGCGAAAGCCUGAUGCAGCGACGCCGCGUGAGGGAUGACGGCCUUCGGGUUGUAAACCUCUUUCAGCAGGGACGAAGCGCAAGUGACGGUACCUGCAGAAGAAGCACCGGCUAACUACGUGCCAGCAGCCGCGGUAAUACGUAGGGUGCAAGCGUUGUCCGGAAUUACUGGGCGUAAAGAGUUCGUAGGCGGUUUGUCGCGUCGUUUGUGAAAACCAGCAGCUCAACUGCUGGCUUGCAGGCGAUACGGGCAGACUUGAGUACUGCAGGGGAGACUGGAAUUCCUGGUGUAGCGGUGAAAUGCGCAGAUAUCAGGAGGAACACCGGUGGCGAAGGCGGGUCUCUGGGCAGUAACUGACGCUGAGGAACGAAAGCGUGGGUAGCGAACAGGAUUAGAUACCCUGGUAGUCCACGCCGUAAACGGUGGGCGCUAGGUGUGGGUUCCUUCCACGGGAAUCCGUGCCGUAGCUAACGCAUUAAGCGCC